AACGCACAUUGCGCCCUUUGGUUAUUCCUUAGGGCAUGCUUGUUCGAGCGUCAUUCCCACCCCUCCAAGCCCUGCUUGGCUGCUGGGCGCUUUGUCCCGCCUCUCGCGCGCGGACUCGCCCCAAAUGCACCGGCGGCCGCCCCUAACGAGCCUGAGCGCAGCAGAAACGCGCCUCUGGGCCGGCAGGGCGCGGCAGGCCCCCGCGAAACGGAAAAUGACCCCCUCGAAGGACCUCGAAUCAAGCAGGAGUACCCGCUGAACUUAA
rnacentral:misc_RNA from 1 species